GCAAGUCGAACGCGAAAGUUCCCUUCGGGGAGCGAGUAGAGUGGCGCACGGGUGAGUAACACGUAGGUAAUCUACCUUCGGAUGGGGAAUAACAACCGGAAACGGUUGCUAAUACCGCAUAAUGCAGCGGCACCUAAUGGUGACAGUUGUUAAAGCGGGGGAUCGAAAGACCUCGCGUCUGAAGAGGAGCCUGCGGCGGAUUAGCUAGUUGGUAAGGUAACGGCUUACCAAGGCGAUGAUCCGUAGCCGGCCUGAGAGGGCGGUCGGCCACACUGACACUGACAUACGGGUCAGACUCCUACGGGAGGCAGCAGUCGGGAAUUUUGGGCAAUGGGCGAAAGCCUGACCCAGCAACGCCGCGUGAAGGAUGAAAUCCCUCGGGAUGUAAACUUCGCAAGAACGGGAAGAAUAAGUCUGGGUUAACACCGCAGACGAUGACGGUACCGUUUGUAAGCUCCGGCUAACUCCGUGCCAGCAGCCGCGGUAAUACGGGGGGAGCAAGCGUUGUUCGGAUUUACUGGGCGUAAAGGGCGCGUAGGCGGCCACCGCAAGUCAGUUGUGAAAUCUCUGGGCUUAACCCAGAAAGGUCAACUGAUACUGCGGGGCUAGAGUGCAGAAGGGGCAACUGGAAUUCUCGGUGUAGCGGUGAAAUGCGUAGAUAUCGAGAGGAACACCUGCGGCGAAGGCGGGUUGCUGGGCUGACACUGACGCUGACAGUGCGAAAGCUAGGGGAGCGAACGGGAUUAGAUACCCCGGUAGUCCUAGCCUUAAACGAUGAAUGCUUGGUGUCUGGGGUUACAUAG
rnacentral:rRNA from 1 species